rnacentral:tRNA from 1 species
CAGAAAAUAGUUUAUUUAAAAUAUUAGUUUUGGAGAUUAAUGAUGGAGGUUUCUUCUUUUCUGA